AGAGUUUGAUCCUGGCUCAGGACGAACGCUGGCGGCAGGCUUAACACAUGCAAGUCGAACGCACCGCAAGGUGAGUGGCAGACGGGUGAGUAACGCGUGGGAACCUUCCCUGUGGUACGGAAUAACUUCGGGAAACCGGAGCUAAUACCGGAUGACACUUUGGAACUCCUGUUCCUUAGUUGAAAGAUGGCUUCGGCUAU
rnacentral:rRNA from 1 species